CGUGAAGGAUGAAGGCCUUCUGGGUUGUAAACUUCUUUUACCUAGGGAAGAAACCCCAAUUUUCUAAUUGGGUUGACGGUACCAGAGGAAUAAGCACCCGGCUAACUCCGUGC
rnacentral:rRNA from 1 species